rnacentral:rRNA from 1 species
GGGAUGGACCCUGCGGUGCAUUAGCUAGUUGGUAGGGUAACGGCCUACCAAGGCGAUGAUGCAUAGCCGAGUUGAGAGACUGAUCGGCCACAUUGGGGACUGAGACACGGCCCAAAAACUCCUACGGGAGGCAGCAGUAGGGAAUCUUCCACAAUGGACGCAAGUCUGAUGGAGCAACGCCGCGUGAGUGAAGAAGGGUUUCGGCUCGUAAAGCUCUGUUGUUGGUGAAGAAGGACAGGGGUAGUAACUGACCUUUGUUUGUACGGUAAUCAAUUAGAAAGUCACGGCUAACUACGUGCCAGCAGCCGCGGUAAU